GGGAACGGCGGUCGUGUGGAGCCGCCACGAACACAGGGCUUCCAUUCCCUCCCCCGGGGAAUCAAAGCCACCCCCCGGCACCGCACCCUGAGCCUCUGUGUCUCGGGGGCGCGGAGGAACUGCGUCCGCUGGUGCGCCCUCCUCACUGCGCGUGGUUUAACGCUCACCUCCCUCCCGUGAUUCACAAUGCCAUUCACUACCUCGCUGCCUCCGCGGUGUGUAUAAAUAUCUAAGGCGUGUGGAGGUGGUGCGCCAAGAAGGAUCCAGUGGUGCCAAGCAAUGGGACAAGAGGCAAGAUGGGCAGAACGGAUGCACAAAAGUUCCACCUGAACUGAGGAAGAGCUUUCCUGUGCAGUGACCGAGCAGGGCAGGUUGCUCAGAGGGCUAUGGAGUCUCCCUUGCUGGGGAUAUUCAAGAGCCGUCCAGAUGCAACCCUGUGCCAUGUGCUCCGGGAUGACCCUGCUUGAUUCAGGAGGCUGGACCAGGUGACCCACUGUGGCCCUUUCCAACCUGCCCAGUGUGUGAUUCUGUGACACGAGCUCAAGGGAGCAGUGACACCGCCUUCCUGCACCCCAGUGUGCAAGCCAGUUCACAGGUCAGAAGAGGCUGUUUGUAUGGAGGAAGAGCAAAUGACAGAACCCACCCCAUGGCAGGGGUUGGACCUAGAUGAGGCCCCUUCCAGUCCAAACCAUUCCACAGUUCUGUGACACCCAGCAGCACGCAGCUCCACUGAGGGAAGUCUGCCUGAGUGAGGCACACGCACUCACACAGCCAGUCCUUGCACUUCAGGGCUUCCCAGGCAGCUGAAGGCAGCUCUCAAGCAUCACCUGGAACACCACCCUAGGGUGAAGCUUUGUGUACUUCCCAACCACACACAGCUGAAAGGAGCCAGGUCUUUCCCUGUGCCAGAGGUGAUCCUUGCCUGCAGGCCCCUGCCCCUCACAACAGGCAGUGAAGGGCAGUAUCAAGGCAGUGAAUCUUCUGCCUUCCAAGCCCCAGCUUACAACAGCAUGUAGGAAGGGGUCACCAGGGAGUGGGUCACCACCAGCUCAUCAUCUGCCAUCACUGACUUUAAGCAUCACCCACAAAGAAAGCCCUCCUCAUCCCACAGACCUGUAUUUAGCUGCCCAUGGCAGCUCUGCAGCCUGAACACAGACUUCCAGAGAGAAACCAAUAAAUUUUGAGCUGUGAGAAAUAUUAAAAGGCUCUCUGAUCUUCUAAGUAUUUACUAAUAGGACAGUUUACCAUCUCAGAAGUUCCAGCACUUUGGGAAAUAUUCAUUACAUGGCCUGAAAACACAAGCACUCUGGAAUAAAAGUCUUACACAAAACACGACUUCACUGCAACUCAUCUCAAUAAAAGAAAGGCUCUUCACUGAUAUUUCAGACUGAACAACUUGCCUUACUUCUCCAGCACAGCUGCCCACUCAGAAUCACAGACUGAGUAAAGUUGCAAGAAGUCACAGUGGAUGUGAUGUGGUCCAGCUCCUCUGCUCAAGCAGGGUCAUCCCAGAGACACGGCACAGGGUUGUGUCUGGACUAUCUGGAAUACCUCCAGUAAGGGAGACUCCACAGCCCCUC